CAUUAAAAUAUUUUCACCAGAAAAUAGAGCAGAAAUAUUAGGUGGGGGGGGAGGGGCUGCACAGUGGUGCAGUGGGUGGCACUGUUGCCCUGAAGGUCGUGGGUUCAAUUCCCGGCCCGAGUUUUUCCUCCAUGUUUUCCCUUCAUGCUGGUUCUGUUUGGAUCUCCGGCUUCCGACUGGUCCAGAACCAUGUCAGGUUAACUGGUCUCUCAUUCUCCCUAGGCGAGUGUGGUUUGUCCUGCGACGGACAGGUGACCCAUCAGGUGACCCAUCAGGUGACCCAUCAGGUGACCCAUCAGGUGACCCGUCAGGUGUCAGGUGACCCAUCAGGUGACCCAUCAGGUGACCCGUCAGGUGUCAGGUGACCCGUCAGGUGACCCGUCAGGUGACCCGUCAGGUGUCAGGUGACCCGUCAGGUGACCCGUCAGGUGACCCAUCAGGUGACCCGUCAGGUGUCAGGUGACCCAUCAGGUGUCAGGUGACCCGUCAGGUGACCCAUCAGGUGACCCAUCAGGUGACCCAUCAGGUGACCCGUCAGGUGUCAGGUGACCCGUCAGGUGACCCGUCAGGUGUCAGGUGACCCGUCAGGUGACCCGUCAGGUGACCCGUCAGGUGACCCAUCAGGUGACCCAUCAGGUGACCCAUCAGGUGACCCAUCAGGUGACCCGUCAGGUGUCAGGUGACCCGUCAGGUGACCCGUCAGGUGACCCCUGACCCCACUGGGACAGGAGGUGUGAGCAAAUGGAUGGAAGGGAACUUGGUAGGAUUCUGUGUUUUUGCAGUGCAGCUGUCAGAUUCUCCUCCUUCCUGUCUUUUCUGCUUCGACCUGAUCGAGUCGUUUUAUUUACACGGAACCAGAACAUUUAGUAAAACACGGAACCGGAACCAGAAUCUGUGUGAAUGAAGGAAACAUCUGGAACAUUUUCCACCAAUCCGGAUCGGCUGGUUCUCUCCCGGUUCUGUUGGUUCUAGAUCAUGGUUAUGAUCAGACCAUCAGAACCAGCUGAACACCAACGCUGUGAUGAGGACCGGGUCAGCAGAACCACGGGUCGGCGCCAGUAGAACUCUGGGAGGAACAGACUCAUCGGAUCGGGGCGCAAACACUGCAGGCGACCCGUUUCUGGUUCUGAGCCCGGUUCAGACCCAGAGAACAUCCAGAGGGUCCGGCAUCCAUCAGGUUCUGCUUUAUUUUGGUACCGAUACCGAGGUUCUGGGCUCGGUUCUGAACAGUGGACUGGUCUCUAAGACGCCUGACCGAUCUUAGAAACACUUCUGGGUUUAAUCCAGAACCAAACCGGGCCUUGGACCAACAUUUAGUUCAUGUAGGAUGUAUCAGACCCAGACCCGGUACCAGUCGGUGCUUCCUGACCCAAACCGGAGCUGAAGGAGAGAAACCUGCUGCUGCGGCUCCAGAACCGGGUCAGGGAGCGGCUCCAGAACCGGGUCAGGGAACGGCUCCAGAACCUCUCCCCUCAGUCUGGAGGUUUAUUUCAGAAACAGCCUCAGCAGCUGCUGCCGGCUGGUUCCUGGUCCAUUUAAUGGACGGGUUCGGGCUCAGAACCUCUCAACCCGACCAGAUCCAACAGAACUCAUUUCUCUGGUCUGAUCAACUGGACCGGGUCAGUCGUUCUCCUGAAGGUCCUGAUGGUUUUCUUUAGGUUCUUCCAGAACCUCUAAGGAUUUUUAAGGUGAAUUUCUAGAUUUCCAGAACCUUUAAUGGUGAGUCUUUACCGACGUCCAGUGGUGGACGCCGCUAGCUAAACGUUAGCUACGCUAACCCUAAAGCAAUAAUUAUAAUCAUUAGUCCUGAUAAUGUUAAUGGCUAUACCAACAUGUAUUCCGCUAAGGCUAAAGCUAAGGCUAAAGCGCUCUACCCACAUGUUGUUUUGCUAAAACUGAUGCUAAAAUGCUAAACCAACAUGGUCUUAGUGGAAGCUAACACGCUAAUCUCAACCAUGUUGAUGCCCACCAUGUGUCACAAGAAAAACAUGUUUGUUUGUUUGUUGUUUACAUGCCAUUUGCUCGAUAAAGAUAAGUGGGAGAAAAAGAGAAAAGGUAUGGAGAGGAAACUGUCUCCACCCCUUCAAAAUAAUGGCAUGGAAACGUCUGAACACUU